rnacentral:rRNA from 1 species
GACGAACGCUGGCGGCGUGCUUAACACAUGCAAGUCGAACGAUGAAGCCUAGCUUGCUAGGUGGAUUAGUGGCGAACGGGUGAGUAAUACGUGAGUAACCUACCUUUAACUCUGGGAUAAGCCUGGGAAACUGGGUCUAAUACCGGAUACGACCAAUCUCCGCAUGGGGUGUUGGUGGAAAGCGUUAUGUAGUGGUUAUAGAUGGGCUCACGGCCUAUCAGCUUGUUGGUGAGGUAACGGCUCACCAAGGCGACGACGGGUAGCCGGCCUGAGAGGGUGACCGGCCACACUGGGACUGAGACACGGCCCAGGCUCCUACGGGAGGCAGCAGUGGGGAAUAUUGCACAAUGGGCGCAAGCCUGAUGCAGCGACGCCGCGUGAGGGAUGACGGCCUUCGGGUUGUAAACCUCUGUUAGCAGGGAAGAAGAGAAAUUGACGGUACCUGCAGAGAAAGCGCCGGCUAACUACGUG